CCAGAAAAGUUACCACAGGGAU
rnacentral:misc_RNA from 1 species